rnacentral:rRNA from 1 species
CCUACGGGAGGCAGCAGUGAGGAAUAUUGGUCAAUGGACGGAAGUCUGAACCAGCCAUGCCGCGUGCAGGAAGACGGCUCUAUGAGUUGUAAACUGCUUUUGUACAAGGGUAAACCUGAAUACGUGUAUUUAUUUGAAAGUACUGUACGAAUAAGGAUCGGCUAACUCCGUGCCAGCAGCCGCGGUAAUACGGAGGAUCCAAGCGUUAUCCGGAUUUAUUGGGUUUAAAGGGUGCGUAGGCGGAUUGUUAAGUUAGGGGUGAAAUGUUCGGGCUUAACUCGGGAAGUGCCUGUGAUACUGUUAGGCUUGAGAGUAGUUGCGGUAGGCGGAAUGUAUGGUGUAGCGGUGAAAUGCUUAGAGAUCAUGCAGAACACCGAUUGCGAAGGCAGCUUACCAAGCUACUUCUGACAUUGAGGCACGAAAGCGUGGGGAGCAAACAGGAUUAGAUACCCCUGUAGUC